AUAGCGUAUACUAAAGUUGUUGCGGUUAAAAAGCUCGUAGUUGGAUGUCAGUUGCGGGCGGGCGGUCCACCGUUUUGGUGGUUUACUGCUCGUCCCGUGACCUACCAACCGGCCUCCCCCGCUAUGCUCUUCACCGAGUGUGGCGGGUGGCCGGAACUUUUACUUUGAAAAAAUUAGAGUGCUCUAAGCAGGUGCAUGCCGCCUGAAUAACACAGCAUGGAAUAAUGGAAUAGGACCUCGGUUCUAUUUUGUUGGUUUUCGGAAUUCUGAGGUAAUGAUUAAUAGGGACGGACGGGGGUAUUCGUAUUGCGGCGCUAGAGGUGAAAUUCUUGGACCGUCGCAAGACGAACUAGUG
rnacentral:rRNA from 1 species